rnacentral:misc_RNA from 1 species
GAUGAAGAACGCAGCAAAAUGCGAUAAGUAAUGUGAAUUGCAGCAUUCAGUGAAUCAUCGAAUCUUUGAACGCACAUUGCGCCCGCUGGUAUUCCGGCGGGCAUGCCUGUUCGAGCGUCAUUUCAACCCUCAAGCCCCCGGGUUUGGUGUUGGGGAUCGGCUCUGCCCUUCUGGGCGGUGCCGCCCCCGAAAUACAUUGGCGGUCUCGCUGCAGCCUCCAUUGCGUAGUAGCUAACACCUCGCAACUGGAACGCGGCGCGGCCAUGCCGUAAAACCCCAACUUCUGAAUGUUGACGUCGGAUCAGGUAGGAAUACCCGCUGAACUUAAGCAUAUCAAUAAGCGGAGGA